UACAUAGGGGGCAAGCGUUAUCCGGAAUUAUUGGGCGUAAAGGGUGCGUAGGCGGUCUAUUAAGUCUGAGGUGUAAGUGCAGGGCUCAACCCUGUGAUGCUUUAGAAACUGGUAGACUUGAGUGAGAUAGAGGCAAGUGGAAUUCCAUGUGUAGCGGUAAAAUGCGUAAAUAUAUGGAGGAACACCAGUGGUGAAGGCGGCUUGCUGGGUCUAUACUGACGCUGAGGCACGAAAGCGUGGGGAGCAAACAGG
rnacentral:rRNA from 1 species